GAUGAACGCUGGCGGCGUGCCUAAUACAUGCAAGUCGAGCGAACAGACGAGGAGCUUGCUCCUCUGACGUUAGCGGCGGACGGGUGAGUAACACGUGGAUAACCUACCUAUAAGACUGGGAUAACUUCGGGAAACCGGAGCUAAUACCGGAUAAUAUAUUGAACCGCAUGGUUCAAUAGUGAAAGACGGUUUUGCUGUCACUUAUAGAUGGAUCCGCGCCGCAUUAGCUAGUUGGUAAGGUAACGGCUUACCAAGGCAACGAUGCGUAGCCGACCUGAGAGGGUGAUCGGCCACACUGGAACUGAGACACGGUCCAGACUCCUACGGGAGGCAGCAGUAGGGAAUCUGCCGCAAUGGGCGAAAGCUUGUCGGAGCAACGCCGCGUGAGUGAUGAAGGUCUUCGGAUCGUAAAACUCUGUUAUUAGGGAAGAACAAAUGUGUAAGUAACUAUGCACGUCUUGACGGUACCUAAUCAGAAAGCCACGGCUAACUACGUG
rnacentral:rRNA from 1 species